CUGCUGCAGCCCCUUUGUUUGGAAUCAACACAUCUGCCUUCCAAAGUAUGAGAACCCUGCACCAACUGCCAGUCCCUGCUGGAUCAUUUUGCAAUCUAUGGAUGUCCACCUGUUUGCCCACCUCGCCAGUCUAAGCCCACCAGCUAGCUCACUGUUCCAAGGUCCGCUCUGUCCAACCUCUGCUCAU